rnacentral:rRNA from 1 species
UACGAAGGGGGCUAGCGUUGCUCGGAUUGACUGGGCGUAAAGGGCGCGUAGGCGGUUCGUACAGUCAGACGUGAAAUUCCUGGGCUCAACCUGGGGGCUGCGUUUGAUACGUGCGGACUUGAGUGCGGAAGAGGGUCGUGGAAUUCCCAGUGUAGAGGUGAAAUUCGUAGAUAUUGGGAAGACCACCGGUGGCGAAGGCGGCGACCUGGUCCGAUACUGACGCUGAGGCGCGAAAGCGUGGGGAGCAAACAGG